rnacentral:sRNA from 1 species
AGCUAGCCCUGACAGAAGCGGUAUCCUUUUUCUGGCUUCUUUAGCCAGGAAAAGAUACAAGUGGAUGGCAGGAACGUCU